GACGAACGCUGGCGGCGUGCUUAACACAUGCAAGUCGAACGGUGAAGGGACCGGUUUUUGCUGGUUCUGGAUGAGUGGCGAACGGGUGAGUAACACGUGAGUAACCUGCCCCCUUCUUCUGGAUAACCGCAUGAAAGUGUGGCUAAUACGGGAUAUUCUGCGCCUGCUGCAUGGUGGGUGUGGGAAAGAUAUUGUUUCGGUGGGGGAUGGGCUCGCGGCCUAUCAGCUUGUUGGUGGGGUGAUGGCCUACCAAGGCGGUGACGGGUAGCCGGCCUGAGAGGGUGGACGGUCACACUGGGACUGAGACACGGCCCAGACUCCUACGGGAGGCAGCAGUGGGGAAUAGUGCACAAUGGGCGCAAGCCUGAUGCAGCGACGCCGCGUGGGGGAUGGAGGCCUUCGGGUUGUAAACCUCUUUCGCCAGUGAAGCAGGCCUGUCCCUUUUGUGGGUGGGUUGACGGUAGCUGGAUAAGAAGCGCCGGCUAACUACGUG
rnacentral:rRNA from 1 species